rnacentral:rRNA from 1 species
AACGCGAAGAACCUUACCUGGCCUUGACAUGUCCGGAAUCCUGCAGAGAUGCGGGAGUGCCUUCGGGAAUCGGAACACAGGUGCUGCAUGGCUGUCGUCAGCUCGUGUCGUGGGAUGUUGGGUUAAGUCCCGCAACGAGCGCAACCCUUGUCCUUAGUUGCCAGCACGUAAUGGUGGGAACUCUAAGGAGACUGCCGGUGACAAACCGGAGGAAGGUGGGGAUGACGUCAAGUCAUCAUGGCCCUUACGGCCAGGGCUGCACACGUACUACAAUGGUCGGUACAGAGGGUUGCAAUACCGCGAGGUGGAGCCAAUCCCAGAAAGCCGAUCCCAGUCCGGAUCGGAGUCUGCAACUCGACUCCGUGAAGUCGGAAUCGCUAGUAAUCGCGGAUCAGCUAUGCCGCGGUGAAUACGUUCCCGGGCCUUGUACACACCG